UAAUCACAUCGGGAUCUUCCAUUGUUCUUGGGAGAACAGCGAUAAAAUUUAUACCCAUUAUCGUUACCGGGCGUUACAUCGCGAGCUAUUUCGUGUUAUUACAUUUAUAUUGUUAGCAGAAAUCUUAUUACUUAGUUCGAGAAAGAUAUAUAGCGUUUCGCAAUUGUUUUGGGAAAAUGAAGAAUCGUGGCUUGCUUAAUAAAAUUCAUUUACAUAGAGCGAUGGAGUCAAUUCUACGAGUAAUGUAUUUUACGGGGACAACAUUAUAACGCAACUGACAAGAUACGCAAGAGUGUUUCGGACUUAGACCUAUGAAUAACGAUGACUUAACCAUUGGCCAUUCAUUUCGCUCCGCGCAAAGUGGCAGUCAUAUUCAGGAUAAUAGGCAUUUCAUCGUCAAUACAUCAUGGAUUUUAUUUCGAGACGUGGUUACAGCCAUUUUUAAAGGAGUUAAUGACAUCGUUUGUCGGUGCAUCCAUGGAACUGUGUCCACAAGCGAAUGACGAAUGGAUUCGAGCUUGGAAAUGAAGUGCGAGGCGAGCGUCUCGAGAAUAAGUUGAUGUCUUCAGCUGUACGUAAGUCGUAAUCACGGCGAGCUACAAUGUUGCGGAUAACGGAAGACGCACUUUUGUUCUCCGAUCGUGACCGGCCGUGAUGAACGUCGAUGAAAAAUCUCGCUCAGAGAUCAGGUACGCAUUAAUAAAAAAUAAUAAUAAUAAACAUUCGCGAUGAUGAAUGUCUCUUCGUUUCAAAUUUUCGAGACAAGGAGACAUAGUUUUUCCAUACUUUUUCAAAACUUGGCAUUUAUUUUAUUUAAUUUGCGGAAAUGAUAACGAGCAAAAUACCCACAAGAAUUUUGUUAUGCGACCUUAAACGAUUCAUGGAAUUUAUGUUUAAAACGAUUUGUAUUUUAUUCAGCAGUUUCAUCAACGUACGUAAAUAAAGCUUUUUUAUUUAUCUUUACGAUGCGCUUUAAACGUCUGUAUUGAAUGAGUGGCGGGUGGAUUAUUACGAUGGAAAUGUACAGACAAGUCAAAUCGACGUUCUAUAACAACGAAAACAAGUGUCAUUGAGAUGCGCGCGAAUAUAUCGCGCUGUCAAGAGACUUCGAGACGGAAUUCAUUUAAACUCCGCUCGGACUCGCUUAGGCACAAUGUAAGCGCGUUUGUUUAAGCGUUGCGCGAAGCGCCCCGCGUGAUUCCAUUUACAGAUUUCUAUGAUUUCCGUCGACGUUCCCUGGACGUGCUCCGGAGGAGAGAAAGAGAGAGUAGAGGCCUAACAAUGCUUUAUUCACCAAGUCUCGCGUUUGCGUAUUGGGCGAAAGCGCUGAAACGGCGCGACGAAAACGACGGAAACAAACGACGCAUUCUGGAAGACAGACACUUUUCACGUUCACACAUUCAGCGGUAGGUCUCCUUUGUUUCAGGUAACGGAGUGUAUUCGUCGCCGCAGGUUUUGGUAUUCAAACAAUGUGUGUGACUAGAAAAAAGUAAGUGCGCGCUGACUGUUUCUCGGCUGCCUGUCAGUUUGUCCAAAUUUCGCAGACAUUUUCUCAGAUCGUCAAGCGAGUAUGUAAAAUUCACGAAGGGGGAACGAGUGUUCGAACGUAUGUUUAUUACGCAGUUAGCCGUUGCGCUAGACUGGUUCUACGCUGACCUCCGUAACUCGCAACAUAAUUAAUCUUCGAGAUUACUAGACGGGAUAGAGGAAUAGUCGACAUCCUUAUUAACGUGUUGAAGACGAAGGUGUUUCAAAGUGGAUUUUCUAUCUUGAGGAAGUUAUUAAUGAAUAAAAAUGAGCGUAAGGAAUCGAGCGAGAGGAAUCGAAUAAUUUUUGGCACGGUUCGCUGAGCUGCUUGAUAAAAUCAUUCGAAUUACGCAAA